CCUGGCUCGGGAUAAACGCUGGCGGCGUGCUUAACACAUGCAAGCCGAACGGAGUGGUUCUCCCGAGGAUUGGCGGUGCUUGCACCUGAUUGACUCAUUUGAAUCACUUAGUGGCGGACGGGUGAGUAACGCGUGGGUAACCUGCCCUAUACUGGGGGAUAGCAGUUGGAAACGACUGAUAAUACCGCAUAAGCGCACAGGACCGCAUGGUCUAGUGUGAAAAACUCCGGUGGUAUAGGAUGGACCCGCGUCUGAUUAGCUAGUUGGCGAGGUAACGGCCCACCAAGGCGACGAUCAGUAGCCGGCCUGAGAGGGUGUACGGCCACAUUGGGACUGAGACACGGCCCAAACUCCUACGGGAGGCAGCAGUGGGGAAUAUUGGACAAUGGGGGAAACCCUGAUCCAGCGAACCGCCGCGUGAGCGAUGAAGUAUUUCGGUAUGUAAAGCUCUAUCAGCAGGGAAGAUAAUGACGGUACCUGACUAAGAAGCACCGGCUAAAUACGUGCCAGCCGCCGC
rnacentral:rRNA from 1 species